CGCAGUAUUGCCAACGCAGGUAGUUUUCAACGGUCUGCUGAACGGGAAGUCGGUGCGAUGCCGACGCUGCCCCCGCAACGGUAAUCGACAGCAAGCGCUGAGCUUGCGCCGCGUUCAACAGCCACUGGGCCAGGCCUGGGAAGGCGGACGCGGGUCGACAGCCCGGAGACCGGCCAAGGCGGUGCGACUGGUG
rnacentral:ncRNA from 1 species